GCCCUGCACUCUGGGACAAGCCCUGGAAACGGGGUCUAAUACCGGAUACUGACCCGCUUGGGCAUCCAAGCGGUUCGAAAGCUCCGGCGGUGCAGGAUGAGCCCGCGGCCUAUCAGCUUGUUGGUGAGGUAAUGGCUCACCAAGGCGACGACGGGUAGCCGGCCUGAGAGGGCGACCGGCCACACUGGGACUGAGACACGGCCCAGACUCCUACGGGAGGCAGCAGUGGGGAAUAUUGCACAAUGGGCGAAAGCCUGAUGCAGCGACGCCGCGUGAGGGAUGACGGCCUUCGGGUUGUAAACCUCUUUCAGCAGGGAAGAAGCGAAAGUGACGGUACCUGCAGAAGAAGCGCCGGCUAACUACGUGCCAGCAGCCGCGGUAAUACGUAGGGCGCGAGCGUUGUCCGGAAUUAUUGGGCGUAAAGAGCUCGUAGGCGGCUUGUCACGUCGGUUGUGAAAGCCCGGGGCUUAACCCCGGGUCUGCAGUCGAU
rnacentral:rRNA from 1 species